rnacentral:lncRNA from 10 species
CAUUCCCCUGAAGGGAAAGGGGGUGUGAUUGCUCCUGAAGAGACCAAAGAGACUGGGCUCCUUUUUAAUCAAAGCUCAGGAGGAGAGCUGCAUUCCACUGUUUCACAGAUGCUGUGAGGGUGACAAAGAUGCAGGGCACCCACUGGAAACACAGACGGCACUCUGCGAAAGAGGAAGGGGCGCCAGGAGCUUGGGUGAGCAAGGUUGGAGAUUAGAAAACUGAAGCUUCAAGAACAGACUUGCCUAACAACAGGAAACUUGUAUGUCUCGAAGUGGCAAUUCACACAUAAGGCUCCAUGACUCCUGAACUCUCACAAAUAUUAGUUGGCUCUUUUCAUGGUUUUACUGAAGUUGCUAGAAGUUUACAGAAAAGGAAGUGCAGGAACAUUUCACAAAUCUACAAUCUUUGGCAACACCAUCAUGACAUCACAACCUGUUCCCAAUGAGACCAUCAUAGUGCUCCCAUCAAAUGUCAUCAACUUCUCCCAAGCAGAGAAACCCGAACCCACCAACCAGGGGCAGGAUAGCCUGAAGAAACAUCUACACGCAGAAAUCAAAGUUAUUGGG